rnacentral:rRNA from 1 species
CAGCCGCCGCGGUAAUACAGAGGGUGCGAGCGUUAAUCGGAUUUACUGGGCGUAAAGCGUGCGUAGGCGGCUUUUUAAGUCGGAUGUGAAAUCCCUGAGCUUAACUUAGGAAUUGCAUUCGAUACUGGGAAGCUAGAGUAUGGGAGAGGAUGGUAGAAUUCCAGGUGUAGCGGUGAAAUGCGUAGAGAUCUGGAGGAAUACCGAUGGCGAAGGCAGCCAUCUGGCCUAAUACUGACGCUGAGGUACGAAAGCAUGGGGAGAAAACAGGAUUAGAUACCCCCGUAGUCCCUGUCUCUUAUAC